UAGAGUAUUCAGUAAUGCUUUGACCAGCUAGUCAGUGGACUUGUUGGUGAGAGUCGGUCGUUUACUCGAAGUGAUCGUGUGGUGUUACUUGACCAGAUAGUCAGGCGGUAUUCUAAAACACGACGUACAAGCAAACAGCGACAAAUACAGCUACAAACGUGAGUGCAUUUCGUGAGACUGUGAGAAAGAAAACGAACAGAGCGUUUCACGGAGCGCACACCGACGGUGGAGCUUCGAUUUCACGUACUGUUUUUUCACUGAAAACAAAAAACCAUAGCGCUAUACUGUGUAUGGUACACGAGCGAUCCAAGAUGCUGUCGUCAGUGCCAGCGAAAUAAUAAUGUGGUGCGACGUUAGUCAGACACCGGGUUCAAUGCUUCGAUUUCUAUUUUUGCCAGUCGACGGAUUGUGCGGUUUCCGCGGGGCAACGGAGAGGAGGAUAGAGUUGUGCAAUGAUGGGUCUGCAGGCCACGGCAGGGAAACGUAAACUGGAGGGAGGUGUGGGCUGCAUGGAGUUCGACAUGGAUAUGGGCGAAAGCCCAUCGAAGUUAGGCCGAGUGGAGGGUAGCUGGUGGGCGAUGGAGGAUAGUUACACGCCCCCGCUUAGCCAAACACCAGCUUCUUAUUACGAUAUGGAAGUGAGUCCGCCUUGCCUGCAGACAAAUCCUUGUCAACCAACAUCGACGAGUCCUCAACAACAGCAGCAACAACAGCAACAUCAAACGGCACAGCAACAACAGCAACAAUCAUCGACGCCAACAUCAGCGCCUCCACCGUCUACGGUGGCGCACCUACACCAUCAUCCGCAGCACUACUAUCACCAUCAACGCGGACCUACUAGUCCGGUCGGUAAUAAUGGUUACAGUCAACUGUCGAGGCCUCAGCCGCAAUGGGGAGCGCCUCAUCAUUAUGAACCUCCAACGAUACGGCGAGAAGAAAACGGAAAAAGUUAUUUGGAGCUUGGAUCUAGUUAUCGAGCAAAUGAUAGAUGCUGCGAAGGUUCGAGGUCAAGUUGGUGUCGACGUGGCAGAGCGUGUUAUAGACAAAGACGACUAGCCGUAUUAAAUAUUUCAAUGUGCAAGCUGGCGAGGUAUCGCCAAUUUCCGGAUCCGAGCCUUCAUCGAUCGGUUCUCAUCUGCAAUACAUUGAGGCAUCUAGAACGCGAAAUGGAGAGGGACAGAAGUCCACCGCCCAUGGAGCCAGUUAUACCAGCACCUAUUGCUCAACUUCAACCUCCUGAGCAGGGCAGGUUAACGCCAUUUCCAAUGCCACCAACGUCUUCAAACGAGACAGACGUCGAUUCUGGUAUCGGUGAUAGCGAUGAUAGUCGUUCGAUUAACUGGGGCAGUGUGCUAUCUCUUUCGAGUCAGUCGCCUUUAGAUCCCCUAAACAACAACGAGUUACUGGAUGUCGAUAUUGGUCCGGAUCUAGAUUUAGACUUCAUGCCUGGAUGGAAAUUGACACCUCUAUCUGCGGACGAUAUUCUUAGGAGUACAACGGCGCAAGAACAGCAACAUCAGCAACAUCAUCAUCAUCAGCAACAGCAACAGCAUCUGGUGUCAACCAGCGGUAGCUGUGCCAAUAGCAAUGUGGCCAGUGCCUGCGUUAGUACUGGAAGUAGCAGUAGUACGCACGAAUCGUUAAUGUGCGUUGGAUCAUAGCCCCCAAUUUUGACAUCGUUGAGUCAUCUCAUCGAUUUUUACCCACUGAUGCCGCAGAGCAAAUAAGUAUGCGGCAUUUACAAAGAACCACAAAUCAAGAUGUAGAGACGACGCAGUCGCCCGCCUCACGAAUUAUUUGCAACGCCUGGACGGCGAUUCUCCAGGAGGUCUUCUUUUUCUUAUUUAUUACCAUUCGUGUCAAUUACGCACCGAUCGAUUAUCUCGGUUACGUUCUACUUCGUAUUACACCGGUAACCAGCAUGGGUGGUCUACUCCUUAUGGGCGAGGAGGUAUGAGACGUGAUACCUCCUGUGUUCGCAGGUGCAACUGGUGCAGAAUUCAUGGCCCAUUGGAAAUAUUUAAAAUUCAAAGGAAAUAGAGUUAACGAACAACGCGAGAUCGGGUCCUCCUCCGGAUCAUCAUCAACGACCACCUCAAAACGAGCCUGGUUAUACUAUAUCGAAACGAUCUGUUUUUGCAGCUGCACCUGCGAAUUCAGCGGCACAUGUAUGAGUUCCCGAGUCGCUCGAAAUGUCGCCACCGGCACGUCAGACAGAAAGAAAUAGAAUGAGAGAAUGAAAAAAGAGGGAGAAAAGGGGGGAAAGAGAGCGAGAGAAAUAGAGUGAGAGAGCGACAGGGAAAAAGAGAGAAAGUGAAAAGAGCUCAAUGUUCACGCCCCCGGGCCGGCGAUACGGUAGGACAAGUACCUACAGGACUUAUGUAGCCUUCUCCUUCGACUCUUUAAAACAACGAUGACAAACGGCACGGUACUUCGACAGACUGGAAAAAAAAAAUCUCUUCUUCUUUCUACAUUUCUUGAUUUUCUUCUAAUUUUUUUUAUUUUUUUUAUUUUUCCUUUUUUUUUUUUUUUUUACAAUUGAUUCGAACAGCGCGAUAUCGCUUGCCUAGCUGGCUGACGUUGAGAACUCUUCGGCGAUGCCUUUGGCGUCGUUUGCGACAGCCAAUCGAAAAGGGAGUGUCCAUCAUCAUCGAUCGCUGUUUUCUCUUUGGAUUAGAAAGACUAUCCAGGCGACGAUUAAUUAAUGCCAUACACUGUAACACACUAACGAUACAUUACACGCGUAAGACAUAACCGCCGUGGCCUAUACCGUACACUGAUAAAUACAUACACAUACACACGCGCGUAUACACCCACAUAUAAAUAUACAUACAUAUGUAUAUGUACAUCAGACAGAUAUACAGGUUCGUACACAGAAAAGUCGAUAUAUGGUGCUAGGACGAUCACACCCUGGUGCUUAAUUCUGUACACACAGAGCCAUGUGCGUAAAUUCGCACGGAUCGCCUGCAGCCUUCGUCGAGGAGUCUAGAUACGUCCUGACGUCGUGAACAGAACAUAGAUGGUCGAACAUAUUUCCAUUGUGUGAUAUCCGAUACGAAGCGAAAUUAAUUAUAGUAGCAUCAAUAUCGUUCCUGGAUUCUCGAAGGCUUUCGACGAUUAUUAAGGGAAUAUCAUAUGCCGAUGGAUGGAGAUAUGUUGUAGUGAAAAUGCGUACUAUGUUCUGACGCACGAUGCUAACAAAUGUACCUGCAUUUUAGAGAUCGGGAUAAAUAUCGGUUCCUUCGUAUCAUCGCACGUAGGCCACUGCGCGCCACUGAUCUCCCGUUAAUAAUAUGUACCAUAAUACUAUUGUAAAAUAGAGUGGCCGACGAGCAAAGAACGAAGGGAGCCAAUAAUUCACUUGGGGUGUGGAACGGAGAGAUUAUUAAGAGAGAAGAAAAAAAAAAAAAAUAAUAAAAUAAAACUCGACGAUACGCACUUCGCGAAGAGGAAUGGCGAUCCGCGCGCGAUCUCGUCCUCAACGUCCACUAACUGAACUCAAAAGAGCAGCUAUACUUAAAUCGAAAUUAAGCGUUGUAAAGCGGAUUUAAAAACGAACGAUAAAGCGAUAUACAAUAAUUUAUAAAUCGACUGAUUACUUGUGUGAGGGAAUGAAAAAAGAUAGGAAAAAAAGAAAAAACAAGAAAGAAAGAAACGAAAAAAAGAAAACUCUACUGGUAACGUUUCACGAGUUGAUUUAAAACUGUAAUUAAUUCAAUAUUAAGCCGACAUAUACAUUAACACGAGACACCAUACAAAAAAAUCCAUUCGUAACAUACGAUAUUUGUAUACAGAAAUACAAAAAACACGAAAUGUACAUGUUUAUACAUGAAAUACAUUAGAUACUUCGAUGUAUAUAGAUACACACUACGUACUAAGUCUAAUAAUUGUUAACGCGAACUCAAGUGAAUUCUCGGCAGUUUUCAUUUUUUCGUUCUUGUUUUCUAUUUUUUUUUCUCUCUUUUUUUCAAUUGUUCAUGUUAAAAAUUUUUAAUUUUCUGAUUUUUAUUCUAUUGUCAUCUUAUAUUCGAUUCAAUGUUGAUUUAUGCCACACUAAUCGUCUCAUCUCUAUUUCGUUCAUUAGUUCCUCUCUCAUUUUGUACAAAAA
rnacentral:misc_RNA from 1 species